AUCGCAAUACGUGCCAUUUUCCUUUAAUAAUUCUUGCUGGGAGGACGUGCGCGUUGUAACAUUUCAGGCAUUCCGCCAUAUUUGAGAAAAAAUUAAAUGAGUCACAAUAGUGGUGGACGACCUCCUCCAAGAAUUGACGGCAUGAUUUCUUUAAAAGUUGAUAAUUUGACUUACCGCACUACACCGGAAGAUUUGCGACGUGUUUUUGAACGUUGCGGUGAGGUUGGCGAUAUAUACAUACCACGCGAUCGUUAUACCCGUGAAAGUCGGGGCUUCGCAUUUGUAAGAUUCUAUGAUAAACGUGACGCCGAAGAUGCAUUGGAAGCCAUGGACGGACGCAAAUUAGAUGGUAGGGAGUUGCGUGUUCAGAUGGCUCGUUAUGGACGCCCCACUUCGCCUAAUAAUAACCGGCGUAAUAAUCGUCGUGGUGGUGGUGGUGGCGGACGUCGUCGUUCCCGUUCACCUAUACGGCGACGUUCGCGGAGCCCUAGACGCCGCUCAUAUUCACGCUCGCGUUCUCGUUCGCGCUCGCCAGUCAGACGCAAUAAAUUUUCGCGCAGCCCGGUACGACGUUCGGUUAGUCGUAGUCAAAGUCGUAAUGGUUUGGGUGGAGGGGGUGGUGGUCUACCUGUUGGCGGGCGUAGCGUGUCGCGUAGUCGCAGUCGUUCUUAGACGAUCCAGUGAAAAGAAAGCAGCUCAUGUGUGGGAAAGCGAAACGUUCAAGCAAUCAACCUACACAAACUUGCUGCUGGAUUGGUUCCGUUGCUGGUUAAUUCAGCAGGCGGUGGUGUAUAAAGCGGUUUGAUUGAAAGAUGGCUGUUUAAGCAGAAAAACACACAGAGACAGGAAAUAAAAUAAAAAAUAUGUUCAGAAAAAUAAUUAAGAGGGAGAAAAAUGACAAAAGAAAACAAAAAAAAAAAAAAAAAAAGAAAGAAAGAAAGAAAGAAUGAGUUGGAGCAACAAUACUGCUGUGUUCAACUUGUACAUUGCGUAUGUACCGAGUAUAGAAGUUGCUGCUGUCUCGAGUUUGUAGCUGUAAUCUUUUGAUACUUUUGUCUGCUGUUGUUGGUGAUGCUUGCUGACUGACUGUGUUCAUUUUCUCAAUUAAUGCAAAUAAGAAUAAGAAAAUUCUCCAUGUAGCGGUUUUUUUUUGCUGCGCCUCGACUGCUGCACUAGCUUCAAUAUAAUAUUUUUAUAUUGCCUUUUUUGCAAAAAUUUUGAAUGAGAGCAGAAUUUUCUCAACUUCACUGGUUUUUAAAGAGCGAACGGAAGUAGCCAGCAACUAGUUUUCAUCUACAGCAGGCAGCAGCAUUUUACAAAAAAACAAAACUGAAAUUUUCAUAAAUUCGUGCGUUCACCGUACAAACAACAAAACAGGUUCGCGAUUUUGGUGUUAAUUGUGGGCGUUGGUGUAGAAAGAGAGAGAGAGAGAGAGGAAAAAUGUAUGUUUGCUGAAUAGCAGGUUUCCUGAGAGUGUUUUUUGAUACUCGACCAGUCUCAAUUUCUCUUCUUUGCUGUGUGUGUUCGUGUAUAUUUGUAGCGGUUCGUUCUCGUACGAUUUCUUUUGUUUCUGAAAUAAAUCUAGCACAGGUGGUUUUCGAGUUAAACUAUUUAAUACAGCAGUUUGUAAUCAACGAUUCAAACUUCAGAACUCUUCAAGCAUAUUUAAGAGAAUCAAGAAGGUAAUCGACCUUUAAUUAAAACACCUUACGAGAAUGUUUGGUUCGCACAAGUAAGUAAUAUCCUUUCAAUACUAAUCCAUUUUUUAACCAUUUCAGGGUUGAAUUUAUUUCAAUCAAUAAUCAAAGAAAUGCACUUUUAAAAAUAAAGAAAUAAAAAUAUUUGGAAAACUUGCA